rnacentral:tRNA from 1 species
UCCCCAGUGGCGCAAUUGGUUAGCGCACGGUACUUAUAAUGUCGGGGUUGUGAGUUCGAGCCUCACCCGGGGAA